CUCCGAUUAAUCAACCAAACUUCCAAUAAAGAAAAAAAAGGAGAAGAUAUUCUACUGUGAAGGAAAACUUCUAGCUCAAGGUCCCUUUCCCUGUUUCUUAACCAAAAAUUACCAACCCAAUUUUUCUAACCCCUGAUUUUUCAACCAGCGUUCAAAAAAGGAAGAAAGAAUAGAGAAAUUUUUACUGUGAUAAGAAACUCUUUGUACCCAAAUUUUCCUCUUUUUCCCUAAAAUCAUCCCAACCCUCUUUUUCUGCUCUAAAGAGAGCUAUUUAUAAAGCAAGAAGAUCCCCUUCCCAAAUGCUCCACUGAUGUGGGAUAAGAGGCCACGCAAGAGUAAUUUGGGGAAUUUUUCCAAAAAAGAAAUCCCAAUUUGAACUCAAGAUAAGAUUUUCCCUUAACAAAUUGUACCAAUUUUGUUAUUUUUCUCCAAAAUUUCAAAAUUGGUAGACCAAUAAGAUUUAGGGAAAAUGAUGAAAUUGUAACACAUAUGUACGAAAUCAUACCCCUAUACUCGAGAUUUAUGGAAUUGAGCCAUUGGAGGAGCCAACUCACCAAUUUUUAGAAACUUCUAGUCUUUCACGCACGAAUUCGUGUAGGAAGCAUGAGGAAGACCACAAACGGGUUGAUUUUGGGUUGAUUUGGAGCUGGUCGGGUCGGGUUGCGUGAUGUUGUUACUGUUGGGAUGGUUGUUGAGAUCAUUGAUGCAUUGGUGUUGAACGAUGUUGAAAUUAUUGGGAUUGUAUGCUUUGAGAUGUUGUACUAGUUUGCUGAAAA
rnacentral:lncRNA from 1 species